ACUCAUGGAAGAUUUGGCAAUAGACACUGGAAGGCCUCUGAACUCCAGAAAUCUGAAGAGCAUGGGAAUUCUGAAAAAGAUUCAAGUCAAACCUACGCUGGACACCUCUUGGGACGCUUUAAAAGAUCAGAGGAAGAUGUCACAUGGUCUCGCAAGGUUCUACAAGAAUGAACCCAGAGAGGCAAUCCUCCACUAUCUCCAACGUCUGAAGGAUGAAGGAGU
rnacentral:lncRNA from 1 species